ensembl:lncRNA
AGAAAACAAGAGGAACAUUCAUCUUGCAGGAAUGCGCCGAUCCCCGAUUUGCCUAAAUGCAUCUAUGUUCCCGCAAAUCAUUUGUGAUCCAGCUUCACCUACAGAAGAAGUGAGCAGCAGCGACAGGGAAUCAAUCCUUUAGAGAUCCCCAGCAGGUAGAGCUCUCCCUGCCUGUCUCUCUCUCUCUCAGACUCCCUGUUGAUCCGCAUUCAUCAGGCACAUCAAAGGGCAGCUCAGGAUGCUGCUGUGUCCCCGGUUUGCCGGCCCCUCCUGGUUGAUUCUGCCGCCCAUCAGGAAACAAUCUCC